rnacentral:sRNA from 1 species
UUUGAUUCCACUAAUCUCGUCAAUGAAAUGAUAAAGGGAUAGUUUAAUUAUGGUUUCAUGAUCAUGGUUUUAUGAAAUUUGUUUCUAACUUAUAUAUUGAUGUCAUUAGUCAAUUUUCAAAUCAUUUAGCAGGAAAGAUGUGUAAGGAAAGACGUAUAGUGUGUGAGUCAAGCAACAAGAUCAGAGUAUCGCCAUACCCGCUUCGAUCUACUAGGACCAACAAACUCAAAGCAAUUGAGUCACCUAUUGAUGAGUCAAAUUGGGAAGAUGUGCGGUGUAUGAUCUGCAUGGAACCGCCACACGAAGCUGUGCUUUUGACAUGCUCGUCCUCACUCAAUGGAUGUCGUCCUUACAUGUGCGGCACGAGUUUUCGUCACUCCAACUGUUUCAAACAGUUUUGCAGAAACAACAGAAAAAAGCGCUCAAACACCAAGACCUUACAUUGCCCUCUUUGUAGAGGAGAAGUCUUGGAGACGAAAAAGGCUUCGAAGACUGCAAGAAGAUUCAUGAAUGCUAAACCGAGGUCUUGCCCUGUGGAUGGCUGUGAAUUUUCAGGGACAUAUGCUCACCUUAAUAAGCACUUGAAAACUGAGCAUCAGGGUCUUGUCCCAGCAAAGGUCGAUCCACAAAGGCAAAGUAGGUGGGAAAUGUUGGUAAGACAUGCUGAAUAUGUUAAUCUCAUGUCUGCAGCUGGGAUUCCGCAUAUGUCUGGGGUUGUGCAUCAUCAACUUCCCAACAAUCAUCAUCUUCCGAUGUUUCAGGUGGGCUUUAGUGGAACCAUGCAAAAUUUGGAUGGUCCGAGUAAUGUAAGUAACGGAUUUGGUCCCGUCAACUACCCCCCAGUUUUUGUACCCAGACUGCAGUUUCGACCAGUGUUUGACAUGUAUCGUGAUAGGAUUCCAUGAAAAAUCCUAGUUCAUUGAUAACCAUAAUCAUAAUAUUUUUCCU